rnacentral:tRNA from 1 species
GCCACCGUAGCUCAGUGGUAGAGCGGCUGAUUUGUAAUCAGCGGGUCGGGGGUUCGAAUCCCUCCGGUGGCUC